rnacentral:rRNA from 1 species
UACGUAGGGUGCAAGCGUUAAUCGGAAUUACUGGGCGUAAAGCGUGCGCAGGCGGUCUUGCAAGACAGGUGUGAAAUCCCCGGGCUUAACCUGGGAACUGCGUCUGAUACUGGAUGGCUUGAAUUCGGGAGAGGGAUGCGGAAUUCCAGGUGUAGCGGUGAAAUGCGUAGAUAUCUGGAGGAACACCGGUGGCGAAGGCGGCAUCCUGGACCGAAAUUGACGCUGAGGCGCGAAAGCCAGGGGAGCAAACGGG